rnacentral:rRNA from 1 species
GACGAACGCUGGCGGCGCGCCUAACACAUGCAAGUCGAACGAGCGAGAGAGAGCUUGCUUUCUCGAGCGAGUGGCGAACGGGUGAGUAACGCGUGAGGAACCUGCCUCAAAGAGGGGGACAACAGUUGGAAACGACUGCUAAUACCGCAUAAGCCCACGACCCGGCAUCGGGUUGAGGGAAAAGGAGCAAUCCGCUUUGAGAUGGCCUCGCGUCCGAUUAGCUAGUUGGUGAGGUAACGGCCCACCAAGGCAACGAUCGGUAGCCGGACUGAGAGGUUGAACGGCCACAUUGGGACUGAGACACGGCCCAA